rnacentral:rRNA from 1 species
CGUUUGACCUCGGAUCAGGUAGGGAUACCCGCUGAACUUAAGCAUAUCAAUAAGCGGAGGAAAAGAAACCAACAGGGAUUGCCCUAGUAACGGCGAGUGAAGCGGCAACAGCUCAAAUUUGAAAUCUGGCUCUUUCAGAGUCCGAGUUGUAAUUUGCAGAGGGCGCUUUGGCUUUGGCAGCGGUCCAAGUUCCUUGGAACAGGACGUCACAGAGGGUGAGAAUCCCGUACGUGGUCGCUAGCUAUUGCCGUGUAAAGCCCCUUCGACGAGUCGAGUUGUUUGGGAAUGCAGCUCUAAAUGGGAGGUAAAUUUCUUCUAAAGCUAAAUAUUGGCCAGAGACCGAUAGCGCACAAGUAGAGUGAUUGAAAGAUGAAAAGCACUUUGGAAAGAGAGUCAAACAGCACGUGAAAUUGUUGAAAGGGAAGCGCUUGCAGCCAGACUUGCUUGCAGUUGCUCAUCCGGGCUUUUGCCCGGUGCACUCUUCUGCAGGCAGGCCAGCAUCAGUUUGGGCGGUGGGAUAAAGGUCUCUGUCACGUACCUUCCUUCGGGUUGGCCUUAUAGGGGAGACGCCAUACCACCAGCCUGGACUGAGGUCCGCGCAUCUGCUAGGAUGCUGGCGUAAUGGCUGUAAGCGGCCCGUCUUGAAACACGGACCAAGGAGUCUAACAUCUAUGCGAGUGUUUGGGUGUCAAGCCCGAGCGCGUAAUGAAAGUGAACGGAGGUGGGAACCCGCAAGGGUGCACCAUCGACCGAUCCUGAAGUUUACGGAAGGAUUUGAGUAAGAGCAUGGCUGUUGGGACCCGAAAGAUGGUGAACUAUGCUUGAAUAGGGUGAAGCCAGAGGAAACUCUGGUGGAGGCUCGCAGCGGUUCUGACGUGCAAAUCGAUCGUCAAAUUUGGGCAUAGGGGCGAAAGACUAAUCGAACUAUCUAGUAGCUGGUUCCUGCCGAAUUUUCCCU